CCUGUUCUUCGAGUCUUGCACCAAUAAGAAGGACCCUGUUGUGACAUGGCUGACUGGAGGCCCAGGUUGCAGUAGUGAAUUGGCUGUGUUCUAUGAAAAUGGUCCUUUCACGAUUGUGAAUAACUUGUCUCUUGUAUGGAAUGAGUAUGGUUGGGAUAAGGCAUCUAAUCUGUUGUAUGUUGACCAGCCUAUUGGUACGGGAUUCAGUUAUAGUUCUGACAGACGUGAUAUUUGCCACUCUGAAAUUUGACAGAUGGUGUUGGUAACGACCUCUAUGACUUCUUACAGGUGUGUCAUUUAGCAAACUGAUUCUAAGACUUGUGGUUAUUUCGUCAUGCAUUAUAUGAAAGAAAAUGUGGAGGACAAGAACUUGGAGUUUGCUACCAAGUGGGAAAGGAAAUCAAAUCUUGCUUACACACAGAAGGAUAUUGAUGUGGUUCGAGCUGAAUGGGCAAAUCAUGUUAUGAAGUUCUAACUUUGGUUCUGUUUAAGGUAGAUGAGUAGCACCAAGAACUGCUUUUGGGCAUUUAUAUAUAACUGAUGGAAAGUGUUGAUGAACCUAAAUUAUGCAUGCAGUUGCUUUGCCUAGCUACUCUUUCUUUACCUUAUAGGUUUUUGACUUAGUGCAAUAUUAGGUAAAUGAUCGAGAUCGAUGAGAUGGUUUUUUGGUUCUCUUGAUCAUUAUGUAACUGUUGGCUAGGUUUAGAGUUGGAACUAUGGAUUGUAUUUUGGAUGAUGUUGAUGCAAUUAAUGAAACGUAGCCAUCAUUUUCAAUGCA